rnacentral:rRNA from 1 species
AGCGAACGCUGGCGGCAGGCCUAACACAUGCAAGUCGAGCGCCCCGCAAGGGGAGCGGCAGACGGGAGAGUAACACGUGGGAACGUACCCUUCAGUUCGGAACAACCCAGGGAAACUUGGGCUAAUACCGAAUACGUCCGUAAGGAGAAAGAUUUAUCGCUGAAGGAUCGGCCCGCGUCCGAUUAGCUAGUUGGUGAGGUAACGGCUCACCAAGGCGACGAUCGGUAGCUGGUCUGAGAGGAUGAUCAGCCUCACUGGGACUGAGACACGGCCCAAACUCCUACGGGAGGCAGCAGUGGGGAAUAUUGGACAAUGGGCGCAAGCCUGAUCCAGCCAUGCCGCGUGGAUGAUGAAGGCCCUAGGGUUGUAAAGUCCUUUCGGCGGGGAAGAUAAUGACGGUACCCGCAGAAGAAGCCCCGGCUAACUUCGUGCCAGCAGCCGCAGUAA